UAAAGUGGAAAGUGGGCAAGGCCAAGGUCAUGCUACAGAAUGUGACUGAGCAACAGGGGGAUCACUUCAGCUGGGAUGGGAAAGGAAAGCCUCCAGGAGGAGUUGACAUCGAAUCACAGUUGAAUCCUAAGAAGUCAGUCUUGCAAAGAUCUAGGAAAGAAACAGCUAAGUUUCUAAGGUGCCCAGAUUUCAUAUUGCUCAAACACACAUGCUCUACAAACAAUUUAUACAGACAACGCAAUCAUCACAGGAUCCUGAGACGAGAUACAUCCUCAGCU
rnacentral:lncRNA from 1 species